AGACUCUCAUUGCUUACCACAGGCUGUGUUCUUAUACUGACAUAGAAAGAGGAGACAAAGUGAACCUACCCCAUGUACCCCCUGCCUAGACCACUGUGUCUGGUCUGUAUUAUGAAUGGGGAGACAUAG
ensembl:snoRNA